rnacentral:lncRNA from 1 species
GCCAUGACAACCCACUCAGGAAAGUACCUAGGUGCCAGACUUAGAUGUUUUUUUUUUUUCUUUUUGGGUCCCAGAGGAGUACCAGAGUGAGUUCAUAAUUCUUUUAUUGCUACCUGGAGAGAAGCCUUUCCCACUCAGUGUUGCAUCCAAUGGCAGAUCAACACUCUUGGAAUGUAAAUUUGGAGUUUGGAGAAAACCCUCUGAAGAGCUAAAGGAUCUCUUGCCCGGGAAGAGGUACUCAAAGGAAGAGCAUUAUUGAACUGCACUGUUUUCUCCUGUCUGAAGCUAACCCCAGCAUGCCUAGUAGGACAACUGUAUGCUAAUAUGCACCUCUUGGAACUUCUAUGCUCUGAUAAUGCAACCAACACAGGAGAAUGGCAGAAGAGCAGAGCUGGAGGCCUUCCCUUCCUUCCAUUUCUGGAGACACUAGCCAAAAUGAAUGAAUCAGCACCUGAGUAUACCUUGCCACCAAAAUUGACAAGAGAUUAUCUAUUCUGACAGUCUGUACACUAUGAUCCAUAGGCCAAAUCUAGUCUAUUCCUUGUUUCUGUAAAUAAAAUCUUACACAACACAGUCA